rnacentral:misc_RNA from 1 species
UGAAAGGCGAAACGUAAUGUGAAUCGCAACUAACAGUGAAUCAUCGAAUCUUUGAACGCAUACCGCACUCACUAACUAUUUGCUUUUGUAUGAUAGUAGAGAGUAUCUACGUAUGAGUGUCAGCCAAAUACUAUUUAUUUUGGUUUAUGAUGAAGGUUUAAUUACUUGACUCGUGAAUUACACACGUUUAGUCUAUCGGACAUAACAUGAAUAAUAAAUACGUCUGGCCUCAUAUGUGGAAGAUUACCCGCUGGAUUUAA